rnacentral:misc_RNA from 1 species
GUAUUAAAAAUUUGCCUUACGGCAGAUAAACAUUCAUUGUCUCAAUAUAGGGGGGGUUUGUAAGUCCCAAAGGCAGGUUUUUACCCCUAAAGCCUUUGAAAAAAAUUAAGUGCACAGGUGUAAAUAAAUCAGAAGAGUGAGCACAUGCAGAUAAACUGCCAGCAUCAACCCUCUGUAAAAAUUCAUUAAUGAUCCUUCCGCAGGUUCACCUACGGAAA